GACGAACGCUGGCGGCGUGCUAACACAUGCAAGUCGAACGGAAAGGCCUGCUUUCCCUUGUGGAUUGCGGGUGCUCGAGUGGCGAACGGGUGAGUAACACGUGAGUGAUCUGCCCCCAACUUGGGUAUAAGCCUGGGAAACUGGGUCUAAUUCCCGAUAGGACUGCAGGGUGGUGCCUGUGGUGGAAAACGAUUUUCUAGUGGUUGGGGAUGAGCUCGCGGCCUAUCAGCUUGUUGGUGGGGUAAUGGCCUACCAAGGCGGCGACGGGUAGCCGGCCUGAGAGGGUGGACGGCCACAUUGGGACUGAGAUACGGCCCAGACUCCUACGGGAGGCAGCAGUGGGGAAUAUUGCACAAUGGGCGGAAGCCUGAUGCAGCGACGCCGCGUGGGGGAUGACGGCCUUCGGGUUGUAAACUCCUUUCGACCGCGAGGAAGCCACCUGGUUGGAAGGGUGGUGACGGUAGUGGUAGAAGAAGCACCGGCUAACUACGUG
rnacentral:rRNA from 1 species